UACGGAGGGGGCUAGCGUUGUUCGGAAUUACUGGGCGUAAAGCGCACGUAGGCGGCUUGGUAAGUUAGAGGUGAAAGCCUGGAGCUCAACUCCAGAAUUGCCUUUAAGACUGCCGAGCUAGCAGGUGAGAGAGGUGAGUGGAAUUCCGAGUGUAGAGGUGAAAUUCGUAGAUAUUCGGAAGAACACCAGUGGCGAAGGCGGCUCACUGGCCCGGAACUGACGCUGAGGUACGAAAGCGUGGGGAGCAAACAGG
rnacentral:rRNA from 1 species